rnacentral:rRNA from 1 species
UAGGGAAUCUUCCACAAUGGGCGAAAGCCUGAUGGAGCAACGCCGCGUGUGUGAUGAAGGGUUUCGGCUCGUAAAACACUGUUGUAAGAGAAGAAUGACAUCGAGAGUAACUGUUCAAUGUAUGACGGUAUCUUACCAGAAAGGAACGGCUAAAUACGUGCCAC